UUGUAAGAAGUUUGUUUGCUUGGCGGAAGUGAUCAAUUGUUAGCGCUCAGGUGAAGGUGUGUUAUUCGACGGUUUGACACUUGCUAGGCUAGGCUAACAUUAUGGAAACGUUUUGCUAAUGACUGGAGGACAACAAGUGACAAGCAAAUCGGCGAACCACACAUAAAUAACAUCAGCAAAAGCCCAAAAGUCCCUCAACUGGUUCACAGUCUUUGAAGCUCCAGCACAGUGAGACUGGAUUGACUGGAGAGAUUAGGCAGCCUCCGGACAUCGCAGUGUCAGCAACAACAAGACCUGGUGGUGUUGGGAAGGUGGAGUGAAGAAGACGGAGGAGUGGAUGAUGGUCUUGAGUGCAGGACAUCAUACGUCACUGGAGGUGCUAAAGCUGAGGAUCUGUCGUGAGCUUUCACUUAGGGAGACAACUCUGGCAGCUUCGGUGAAAUAUUUUGAUUUAGCGUCAGCAGGAAUGCAUGAAUCAGAAUCAUUUUCUUUCCUAAAACAUAUUUACUCAAUCAUUUUUUUGCCGACAAGUACAAGUUCUGGCAUUAAUAGAUCUGUGUGCAGUCAAAUUUUCACAUUUGUAGUUUCUGAUUCUGUCUCUCUGGCACAGCUUUUGUUGAAAAAGAAAUUAAAAGCUUGAUGGAUCUCGUCUAUUUAGCAGACCGAGUAAUUCCCUUUUUAUGAGUGGGUGUGGUAACAUACUAUAAUCUUUAUUUUAGUUUGGAUUUUUAUUUUGAAACUGCACUGCCAGUAGUGUUUUUGAGGAUAAGGAUCACAAAAGAUAAUAAUGCGAUUCUCAAAAGUUUUGAUAUUUUCUAAUAUCGCAAAAGUAAGCAAAAUGAGACAAUAACACAAACCGUAAUAUAUAUUUCACGUAAUACUCCCUCUUGUGUGAUCAAAGGAACAUUUCACACCUGAAAAAUGAACUUGUCAGUGCUCCCUGCUGGACCAACGUGGAACAACCCUGUGUGUAAACUAAACAAACCAUUGGCACUCAGACAUAUAUGUUGGUUAGGAUUACGAUAGAUGGAUAUCUUUGAUAAGAAAAUAUCAGCUUA